CAAACCCUACGGGGGGCAGCAGUGGGGGAUAUUGCACAAUGGGGGAAACCCUGAUGCAGCGACGCCGCGUGAGUGAAGAAGUAUUUCGGUACGUAAAGCUCUAUCAGCAGGGAAGAAUAAUGACGGUACCUGACUAAGAAGCCCCGGCUAACUACGUGCCAGCAGCCGCGGUAAUACGUAGGGGGCAAGCGUUAUCCGGAUUUACUGGGUUUAAAGGGUGCGCAGGCGGACCAUCAAGUCAGCGGUAAAAUCGUGGGGUCCAACCCCAUCCCGCCGUUGAAACUGGCGGUCUUGAGUGAGCGAGA
rnacentral:rRNA from 1 species